AAUGAGAGUCUCCGGGGCGUCAGCGGACGCGCCGAGGCGAGAAAAGAAUAACGACCGCAGUGUGCCCGGCUGCCGUAUCCACCCUCGACGUCGCCUACUGCAGCGCAUCGCUCCGCGCAUCCCGGGGAAUGUGCUUGGCCGGGGACGGACAUGCUCAGCCCAUCUUCCAAUAGCAACGGUUGGUUGCAUGUGCCAAAUAAAACGUCAAGCAUCAUUGGAACACACUGAAUUUUCUGCGGAUGCAUCAGCCUGUGGAACUGUCUAAGUCAGCUCCCUGAAUCGUGACGUGACCAAUUUGUGAUAACAGACAAGCACAAUGCAAAACUUUAGAAGGUGCAUUAGAAACAUUUUCCUUAUUUAGUGGCAUGUUAUUGACAUAUUAAAAAUUCUUUGAAACCUUUGCCCACUUUAGCCCUUCAUUUGUGUGAUUAAUCAUGCUUUAUGUUAAGGGUGGCUUUAACACGCGUUAUCGCUUUUGUGGCCUUGCCAAUAUUUCAGUGAUGCUAUGGUGGGUUGUAAAUAAUGGGCCAUAGGGAAUGGUGCUGUCGGUAAAGCCAAGCUUUUUUUCAAUAUUGCCAGGAAUAGGAGCAUUCUCAUUGAUUUCUCUAUUUAGCAGGUGACAGGGAGACACUCAA